CAGAGGUCCCGAGCGUUGUUCGGAUUCACUGGGCGUAAAGGGUGCGUAGGUGGUGAGGUAAGUCGGAUGUGAAAUCUCCGGGCUCAACCCGGAAAUGGCAUUGGAAACUACCUUGCUGGAGGAUUUGAGGGGGGAUUGGAAUACUUGGUGUAGCAGUGAAAUGCGUAGAUAUCAAGUGGAACACCAGUGGCGAAGGCGAACCCCUGGAAAAUACCUGACACUGAGGCACGAAAGCUAGGGGAGCAAACAGGAUUAGAUACCCUGGUAGUCCUAGCCCUAAACGGUGCUUGCUUGCUGUAAGAGGAAUCGACCCCUCUUGUGGCGGAGCUAACGCGUUAAGCAAGCCGCCUGGGAAGUACGGUCGCAAGAUUA
rnacentral:rRNA from 1 species